GCGUGAAGCUCUUCAGUAAAGUUAUGUUAUGUGGGCGGGGCUGCCAUGACAGCAAAAAUGGCGUAGGACAAAGUGGAAUAUACAACUUAUUUUCAUAAGUAGUAUUUACUUAUCAAUUUUUCAUGGAAUUGUGAUUCUGAAUUUAUUGACAGAAGUACGACGAUGACUUGUGAUUUGAGCAACGGUAGUUGCAAUUUCUAAGAUGGAGCGACAGCAAUGGCGUCUAGUACUACUAUUUCACGGGAAAAUGCUGUUGACGUUAGAAAGCACUUGUCAUACAUGAUGUAUGGACGAUGUUGCAGUUAAUACUGAGAAAUUUACUUUUUUCGUUUGAAGCAAGUAUAUAUAAUGACACUCCAUAGUCAAUAUCAGAUUAAUAUUUCCUGACUCUGCAAAGGUUUUUGGCCUUCCGGAAACUUAUUCAGUAGUAUGCUUCACCAAAAUUAGCCCGAAUACGUUGUAAUUUAUCCAAUUUCAACCCAUACAAACCACUUUAUGCACUUGAAAUAUCUAGAGAAACUGGAUAGAAUGUGCUGACAUUUCGAGAGAGAUAGAUGGUUGCGCAGUAUUGUGGGAUACUUGUAACUGUAAGUCAAACUAAGUGAGAUGUUAUAUUGCACAAAAAUGGAACCAUUAUUUAGCAGUAGUUGACUGCUUAUGUAUUAUGUUAAUGUCUUUUAGAGCUCAUACCAUUAUUUACUCUGCAACAUAUUGUUGCAACUGUGAUGUAAAGUAUAAACAAUAAAAAAUGCUGAUUAAUAAA